rnacentral:rRNA from 1 species
CCUACGGGCGGCAGCAGUGGGGAAUAUUGGACAAUGGGGGCAACCCUGAUCCAGCCAUGCCGCGUGUGUGAAGAAGGCCCUCGGGUUGUAAAGCACUUUCAGUGAGGAAGAACGCCUGGUGGUUAAUACCCAUCAGGAAAGACAUCACUCACAGAAGAAGCACCGGCUAACUCCGUGCCAGCAGCCACGGUAAUACGGAGGGUGCGAGCGUUAAUCGGAAUUACUGGGCGUAAAGCGCGCGUAGGUGGCUUCAUAAGCCGGUUGUGAAAGCCCCGGGCUCAACCUGGGAACGGCAUCCGGAACUGUCAAGCUAGAGUGCAGGAGAGGAAGGUAGAAUUCCCGGUGUAGCGGUGAAAUGCGUAGAGAUCGGGAGGAAUACCAGUGGCGAAGGCGGCCUUCUGGACUGACACUGACACUGAGGUGCGAAAGCGUGGGUAGCAAACAGGAUUAGAUACCCGAGUAGUC